rnacentral:rRNA from 1 species
UAAAAAUGUAAAUAUUUAAGCUUAAUUAUUAAUAGUUAUGUUCUUUAAAGUUAAAGGAUAUGGCGGUAUUUUAGUCUAUUUAGAGGAACCUGUUCUAUAAUCGAUAAUCCACGAUUUACUUUACUUAUUUUAUUAGUUUAUAUAUCGUCGUAGUUUGAAUAUUUUUUAAGAAAUAUAAUGUUCAAGAUUCUUAAUUUGGAAAGAAAUCAGAUCAAGGUGUAGCUUAUAGAUAAGGAGAAAUGGGUUACAAUAAAUUUAUUUAGAUGGGAUAGAGACUUGAAAAUUCUUUAUUAAAGUGGAUUUAAAAGUAAUAAGAUUAAUUUUUUUUUUAUGACUUUAGCUCUAAAAUAUGU